UUUAUUGGAGAGUUUGAUCCUGGCUCAGGACGAACGCUGGCGGCGUGCCUAAUACAUGCAAGUCGAGCGAGUCUCUUCGGAGGCUAGCGGCGGACGGGUGAGUAACACGUAGGCAACCUGCCUCUCAGACUGGGAUAACAUAGGGAAACUUAUGCUAAUACCGGAUAGGUUUUUGGAUCGCAUGAUUCGAAAAGAAAAGGCGGCUUCGGCUGUCACUGGGAGAUGGGCCUGCGGCGCAUUAGCUAGUUGGUGGGGUAACGGCCUACCAAGGCGACGAUGCGUAGCCGACCUGAGAGGGUGACCGGCCACACUGGGACUGAGACACGGCCCAGACUCCUACGGGAGGCAGCAGUAGGGAAUUUUCCACAAUGGACGAAAGUCUGAUGGAGCAACGCCGCGUGAACGAUGAAGGUCUUCGGAU
rnacentral:rRNA from 1 species